AAGCAGGAAAGCUUAUUUAUAACUUGAAGGGCCUCAUUAUCUGACUGAGUAGUCUGUCUCUUUUUUGAUAGAUUUUAUUUUCCAUCUUUGUGGUCAGACUAACACACCUUCUGUCUACUUCCAAUUUACUGUAAACUGGGUCAUGGAAUUCAGGCUAAGAUGACUCAACUGCCUGAGGCAGAAAAAGAAAAGAUUGCUGAGCAAGUUGCUGAUUUCAAGAAAGUAAAGAGUAAGCUGGAUGCUGAGAUUGAGAUAUGGGAUGAUACAAGCAACGACAUCAUUGUUCUGGCCAAGAACAUGUGUAUGAUCAUGAUGGAGAUGACAGACUUCACUAGGGGCAAAGGACCACUAAAGCAUACAACUGAUGUGAUCUAUGCAGCGAAAAUGAUAUCAGAAUCAGGAUCAAGGAUGGAUGUCCUUGCUAGGCAGAUUGCUAAUCAGUGCCCAGAUCCAUCUUGCAAACAGGACUUGUUGGCCUACCUGGAACAGAUUAAGUUCUACUCCCACCAACUGAAAAUCUGCAGUCAAGUUAAAGCUGAGAUCCAGAACCUGGGAGGAGAGCUCAUCAUGUCAGCUUUGGACAGUGUCACAUCCCUGAUCCAAGCAGCCAAAAAUUUAAUGAAUGCUGUAGUGCAAACAGUGAAAAUGUCUUACAUUGCCUCAACCAAGAUCAUCCGAAUCCAGAGUCCUGCUGGGCCCCGGCACCCAGUUGUGAUGUGGAGAAUGAAGGCUCCUGCAAAAAAACCCUUGAUUAAAAGAGAGAAGCCAGAGGAAACGUGUGCAGCUGUCAGACGAGGCUCAGCAAAGAAAAAAAUCCAUCCAUUGCAAGUCAUGAGUGAAUUUAGAGGAAGACAAAUCUACUGAAACCACUAUUCUACAUAUAGUGCCUAUAUGACAAAAUCCUGCCUAACCACACUUUAUUUUACACUUAAGAAGUUCUGUAAUUUCACUAAGUUUUGGUGUUUAACUCACAAAUAACAUAAAAUAUUGGGCACUAAAUCAACAAAAGCAAUAUAUAUUUGGGAUCAUAUCACUGUCGUUUCUGUAUGGUCAGCACCUAAUAGUUAAGGAAUAUUUGCU
rnacentral:sRNA from 1 species